rnacentral:rRNA from 1 species
CCUACGGGAGGCAGCAGUGAGGAAUAUUGGUCAAUGGACGAGAGUCUGAACCAGCCAAGUAGCGUGAAGGAUGACUGCCCUAUGGGUUGUAAACUUCUUUUAUAAAGGAAUAAAACGAGGCACGUGUGCCUUUUUGCAUGUACUUUAUGAAUAAGGAUCGGCUAACUCCGUGCCAGCAGCCGCGGUAAUACGGAGGAUCCGAGCGUUAUCCGGAUUUAGUGGGUUUAAAGGGAGCGUAGAUGGGUUGUUAAGUCAGUUGUGAAAGUUUGCGGCUCAACCGUAAAAUUGCAAUUGAUACUGGCAGUCUUGAGUACAGUUGAGGUAGGCGGAACUCGUGGUGUAGCGGUGAAAUGCUUAGAUAUCACGAAGAACCCCGAUUGAGAAGGCAGCUUACUAAACUGUGACUGACAUUGAUGCUCGAAAGUGUGGGUAUCAAACAGGAUUAGAUACCCUAGUAGUC